rnacentral:rRNA from 1 species
UUCCUGGUUGACUGCCGGAUGCUACCGCUAUUGGAGUUCGAUUAAGCCAUGCGAGUCGAGAGUCCUCGGGACUCGGCGUACCGCUCAGUAACACGUGGGUAACCUGCCCUAUGCUGGGGAAUAACCUCUGGGAAACUGAGAAUAAUGCCCCAUAGCCCACUACGCCUGGAACGGUGAGUGGGUCAAAGCUCCGGCGGCAUAUGAUGGGCCUGCGCCGUAUCAGGUUGUAGGGGGUGUAAAGUACCCUCUAGCCAUCAACGCGUACGGGUGUUGGGAGACAUUGCCCGGAGAUGGAUUCUGAGACACGACUCCAGACCCUACGGGGUGCAGCAGGCGCGAAAACUUGGCAAAUGCGAGAAAUCGUGACCAGAGAACUCCAAGUGCGUAGGGUAAGAACUACGCUUUACUUGACUCUUCACAGGUCUUGGACUAAGGGGUGGGUAACGGACGGUGCCAUGACGACAGAGGUUAAUACCCGGCGCCCUCAAGAUGGUAGUCAGAUUUCAUUAGGGCCUAAUAACGUCCCGUAGACCGGUCAUGGUGCAUACGCUGGGUAACAUCAACACAGCAUAAACGGUGUAGAACUAUAGCGAACGACAGGCUAGACUAGACACCUAGACAACGUCG